rnacentral:rRNA from 1 species
UACGGGGGUGGCAAGCGUUGUUCGGAAUUACUGGGCGUAAAGGGCGCGUAGGCGGGGAGAUAAGUCGGGUGUGAAAUCCCUCGGCUCAACCGAGGAACUGCGCCCGAGACUGUCUUUCUUGAGUCCCGGAGAGGAAGGUGGAAUUCCCGGUGUAGCGGUGAAAUGUGUAGAGAUCGGGAGGAACACCGGUGGCGAAGGCGGCCUUCUGGACGGUGACUGACGCUGAGGCGCGAAAGCGUGGGGAGCAAACGGG